rnacentral:rRNA from 1 species
CUAUCAUGCAAGUCGAGCGGACAGAUGGGAGCUUGCUCCCUGAUGUUAGCGGCGGACGGGUGAGUAACACGUGGGUAACCUGCCUGUAAGACUGGGAUAACUCCGGGAAACCGGGGCUAAUACCGGAUGGUUGUUUGAACCGCAUGGUUCAAACAUAAAAGGUGGCUUCGGCUACCACUUACAGAUGGACCCGCGGCGCAUUAGCUAGUUGGUGAGGUAACGGCUCACCAAGGCAACGAUGCGUAGCCGACCUGAGAGGGUGAUCGGCCACACUGGGACUGAGACACGGCCCAGACUCCUACGGGAGGCAGCAGUAGGGAAUCUUCCGCAAUGGACGAAAGUCUGACGGAGCAACGCCGCGUGAGUGAUGAAGGUUUUCGGAUCGUAAAGCUCUGUUGUUAGGGAAGAACAAGUACCGUUCGAAUAGGGCGGUACCUUGACGGUACCUAACCAGAAAGCCACGGCUAACUACGUGCCAGCAGCCGCGGUAAUACGUAGGUGGCAAGCGUUGUCCGGAAUUAUUGGGCGUAAAGGGCUCGCAGGCGGUUUCUUAAGUCUGAUGUGAAAGCCCCCGGCUCAACCGGGGAGGGUCAUUGGAAACUGGGGAACUUGAGUGCAGAAGAGGAGAGUGGAAUUCCACGUGUAGCGGUGAAAUGCGUAGAGAUGUGGAGGAACACCAGUGGCGAAGGCGACUCUCUGGUCUGUAACUGACGCUGAGGAGCGAAAGCGUGGGGAGCGAACAGGAUUAGAUACCCUGGUAGUCCACGCCGUAAACGAUGAGUGCUAAGUGUUAGGGGGUU